AGCUUUGCGCAGUGGCAGUAUCAUAGCCAAUGAGGUCAAACCGAGGCGUGAUUAUUGCUAAUUGAAAACUUUUCCCAAUACCCCCCGUGAUGACUUGAAAUAUAGUCAGCACUGGCAAUUUUUGACAGUCUCUCAGGAGA
rnacentral:snRNA from 1 species